GAUGAACGCUGGCGGCGUGCCUAAUACAUGCAAGUCGAGCGAACGGACGAGAAGCUUGCUUCUCUGAUGUUAGCGGCGGACGGGUGAGUAACACGUGGAUAACCUACCUAUAAGACUGGGAUAACUUCGGGAAACCGGAGCUAAUACCGGAUGAUAUUUUGAACCGCAUGGUUCAAAAGUGAAAGACGGUCUUGCUGUCACUUAUAGAUGGAUCCGCGCUGCAUUAGCUAGUUGGUAUGGUAACGGCUUACCAAGGCAACGAUGCAUAGCCGACCUGAGAGGGUGAUCGGCCACACUGGAACUGAGACACGGUCCAGACUCCUACGGGAGGCAGCAGUAGGGAAUCUUCCGCAAUGGGCGAAAGCCUGACGGAGCAACGCCGCGUGAGUGAUGAAGGUCUUCGGAUCGUAAAACUCUGUUAUUAGGGAAGAACAUAUGUGUAAGUAACUGUGCACAUCCUGACGGUACCUAAUCAGAAAGCCACGGCUAACUACGUG
rnacentral:rRNA from 1 species